GAUAAACUCCCACCAAAUACCUAACAAUAAAAUCCUACUAUUAUCAAUUAUCACCACAUAAUUAAAAUUUCUUCAAAACCCAAGAAACACUCGAAGAGAAAGAAGAGAAGGGUGAGAGUCACCGAAACCCUAAGCUCACGAUCUCCACCGCCGUCUCCAUUGCCGCCGUCGCCGCCGCUAAAGUUAAUCUCCAUUCUGCUUUUGCUAUAAAGCUACUGAGAUCGAGCCAAGGCGCUUCCUUCAUCAACGCGUUUUCAGAUCUAAUUGCAACGCCCAAGCCUCUGAGAUCGAGAGAAACCGCUUCUUCGGUUAACUUUCCUUGGGCGAUGACGCUCGUGUUCUCCAUCGACAUUCUAUCCUUUCUAAGAAAAGCCAGUUCUGGACUCGGAACUUUGGCAUGCAUGUGCUGGUCCCCUUGACAAUGCAUUAGUUGCUUCUUGCAGGAACUUGGCAUCAAAAGGAUUUUCCGGAACACUUUCUCCCUCAAUUGCCAAAUUGAAAUACUUGGUUAGCUUGGAGUUGCAGGACAACAAUCUUGCAGGCCCUUUACCUGACUACAUCGCCAACUUAACGAUCAUUGAAUAUCUUAUUCUUGCUGACAAUAAUUUCAGUGGUUCUGUCCCGGCUACUUGGGGCCGACUUGUUGACUUGUUUGUAAGAGAUCUUACUGCACUUUUCAUGCAUUUGUUUUCUGUCAUGAAUUGUUUCGAAUUUGCUUGUGAUUUAUGAUUUUGCUUAUCUCUGCCUUCAAAGCCACUAGGCAAAGACGGAAACCAGGGUUCGUAGCUGUAGUUCUUAUAAUUUGAAGAUAAUUCACUAUGAAGUUCCUCG